UAAAUAAUUUUGUUGUUCAUUUAUUUAUUAUCAUGGUAAUUUGCAUCAAGUACAAUAUGAAAGAAUAAAGAAUUUUCAAGACUGGAAAUAUUUACUAGAAGGUGAUGAUGAAUUGCAUUCAAACCAAAAUCCCAACUAGGCUUAGAGGAAUCUGGAGCGUGUGCAUUCAGCAGGAAGACCGUUAGUAAAGCGUCUGCGGUCAUUGCAGUAGUUGUAGAUCAUGUGCUUGUUCUGCACCCACCUAAUCCUGUUUCGGCCAGCUGCAUCGACUCCUUGAGUUCUCCAUGCCUGGUUGUCAUUUACAGAGCUUGUCGACCUUGAGUUAGGACCAACUUUAUCGGCAUUGGCAUUGAAUUUCCUGUAGUAAGCGGUGAAAGGUGCGUUUUUCCAGUCAGUUUUCACACGCCCACCCUGGGUUGCCCAGUCAUCUGCAUUCCACAGGCUGGCGUACACUCUCAUCGGUUGGCUCUUGGGAAAGGGAACUCCAGCAGCCUCAUGGUUGUUAAACACCCUCACUGGUAUGUUAUCAAUCAAGAAACUGUAGUAAAAUGUAGUUGAAGAUCAGUACAUGUCAGUAGUACGGGUAACUUGUGUGCAUAGAUCGAAUGUGAGAUGGACUUACAUGAUUCUUUGUGCGUUCCAUACAAUAGUGUAGGUGUGGAAGGCGGCAGUUGGGUCGAACCAUAGGUGAAACUGUUGUUCCUUAUCUCCUUUCCCUUGCGAGUAUACGUUGGUGUGGAUUGUGUAAGGGCUUCCUGUGGUGUUGCCCAAGAACUCAAAGUCUAUCUCAUCAUGCCCUGCGCCUUGUGACGAUAACUGGUGUACAAAGUCAGUCAUGCUUUUUGUUAGGGACUUGGUAACUAUGAUAUAAUGUCAAGAUACAAAUUUUGAAAUCAUGAGGGCAUGGACUACUUACAUAGAAGGUGGUGACUGUACCAGCAGAGUUUCCAGGUACUAGUUUGAGUUGCAUGUCGAACCUUCCAAAGAGGUACUCGUGCUUGGACUGGAAACCCGACCCGGAGUACUGAUCGAGUGAAAGGGAGAGAUCCUGACCGCCAUUGGAAAUUUUAGCACGUUCGCCUCCAAAAGUGAUGUCCAUUUCGUCAUAAAAACUUCCUGCCGAUGCAGCUACAAUCAGACAUGAAAUUGCUAGAGCAACUGCACAAGUAUUAUGGCUUGAAUGUCCCAUUAUUCUUCUCAACCGAACUAGUGUGUGUGGCUACAUGA
rnacentral:lncRNA from 1 species